UCGGGAAUUUUGGGCAAUGGGCGAAAGCCUGACCCAGCAACGCCGCGUGAGGGAUGAAGUAUUUCGGUAUGUAAACCUCGAAAGAAUGGGAAGAAUAAAUGACGGUACCAUUUAUAAGCUCCGGCUAACUACGUGCCAGCAGCCGCGGUAAUACGUAGGGAGCAAGCGUUGUUCGGAUUUACUGGGCGUAAAGGGCGCGUAGGCGGCGCGGUAAGUCACUUGUGAAAUCUCUGAGCUUAACUCAGAACGGCCAAGUGAUACUGCUGUGCUAGAGUGCGGAAGAGGCAACCUGAAUUCUUGGUGUCGCGGUGAAAUGCGUAGAUAUCAAGAGGAACACCUGAGGCGAAGGCGGGUUGCUGGGCCGACACUGACGCUGAUGCGCGAAAGCCAGGGGAGCAAACG
rnacentral:rRNA from 1 species